rnacentral:rRNA from 1 species
GCUAAUACCGCAUACGCACCGAGGUGGAAAGCAGGGGAUCGCAAGACCUUGCGCUAUACGAGCGGCCGAUGUCAGAUUAGCUAGUUGGUGGGGUAAAGGCCUACCAAGGCGACGAUCUGUAGCGGGUCUGAGAGGAUGAUCCGCCACACUGGGACUGAGACACGGCCCAGACUCCUACGGGAGGCAGCAGUGGGGAAUUUUGGACAAUGGGGGAAACCCUGAUCCAGCCAUGCCGCGUGAGUGAAGAAGGCCUUCGGGUUGUAAAGCUCUUUCGGCUGGGAAGAAAUCGCACAGGCUAAUACUCUGUGUGGAUGACGGUACCAGCAUAAGAAGCACCGGCUAACUACGUGCCAGCAGCCGCGGUAAUA